rnacentral:rRNA from 1 species
CAGCAGCCGCGGGAAUACGAGGGGGGCAAGCGUUGUUCGGAAUUAUUGGGCGUAAAGGGCGCGUAGGCGGCUUUGCAAGUCUUGUGUGAAAUCUCUGGGCUCAACCCAGGGACUGCACGAGAAACUGCAGGGCUUGAGUAUGGGAGAGGUGAGUGGAAUUUCCGGUGUAGCGGUGAAAUGCGUAGAUAUCGGAAGGAACACCUGUGGCGAAAGCGGCUCACUGGACCAUAACUGACGCUGAGGCGCGAAAGCUAGGGGAGCAAACAGGAUUAGAUACCCCGGUAGUCCCUGUCUCUUAUAA